rnacentral:rRNA from 1 species
GAAACCAACAGGGAUUGCCUCAGUAACGGCGAGUGAAGCGGCAAAAGCUCAAAUUUGAAACCCUCGGGAUUGUAAUUUGAAGAUUUGGCAUUGGAGAAAGCUAACCCAAGUUGCUUGGAAUAGUACGUCAUAGAGGGUGACAACCCCGUCUGGCUAACCGUUCUCCAUGUAUUGCCUUAUCAAAGAGUCGAGUUGUUUGGGAAUGCAGCUCAAAGUGGGUGGUAAACUCCAUCUAAAGCUAAAUACUGGUGAGAGACCGAUAGCGAACAAGUACUGUGAAGGAAAGGUGAAAAGAACUUUGAAAAGAGAGUGAAAUAGUAUGUGAAAUUGUUGAUAGGGAAGGAAAUGAGUGGAGAGUGGCCGAGGUUUCAGCCGCCCCUCGUGGGCGGUGUACUGCCGACGCCGAGUCAUCGAUAGCGAGACGAGGGUUACAAAUGGGAGCGCCUUCGGGCGUUCUCCCCUAACCCUCCACA